GUGAUUGAUUAACAGUUUGAAUUACCCUAGGAAGAUUGAAUAUAGUCAUAUUUUUGCAUAGGUGUUGAAAGAAUUUUCAGCCCUGAAGAUUAACCUCUUGUAAAUAAUUUCAGAGAGACAAUUUCAUCGUGAGGGAAGAAAAGUGGUGGGAAAUUUUCAAUUUUAAUGGUCGGAUGAAGGUGGACUACACAGGUGUUGUAUAUGAGGACAUAUAGGAAGAAUUGAUUUUAGAAACGUCUAUAAUUGAACAUAGAGUUUGCAAUACAAUCAGUAACUAUCAAAUUAAAUCUCUUCACUGAGCCUAUUCAAAUA
rnacentral:misc_RNA from 1 species